rnacentral:lncRNA from 1 species
AGCUACUUUGCUUUGGGAGUGCCGUCUGGCCAGACUAAGGUCUGUUUUACUUUCCAACUUGUCCGGUGUGUUCCUUCCCAGGUGUUCUUCACUGCAGUCAGCUCCUCGGAGCAUUUGGUAAGGCCCUCGGUCUUACGUCAGGGUACUGAACCAGGGCACAGUGACUUUAAUAUCUCAUGAAAUUGGCUCAUCUACAUGAGCAGAAGAUGCUGCAGUCACCUUCGAGGGCUUGGGAUCAACUUCUCAACUCCCCUGCAGGGACAGUUCUACAUGGGCCCUUAUAACAGGACCCCAGCGCCAUCUUUAUGUCCAUAUAAACACUCUCUUCCGGGUAGUUCUGCCUGAGUUUUCAUUCAGACCCAAGCUGUCUUGUCAGUAGGAUACAAUUACGGUAGGGAAAAACUGUAUGUCCUGAAAUAUCACGAUUAUGAAAAACAGCAACAUAAGCUCCCAUUAAGGCAGAAGAAAGUUAAUUGUGUUUCAUGUAGCCUCCCAGGGCCAGCAUGCUGGUGUGGACAUGAUUUACUUCAGCAGAAUACAGCUAAUCUUUGCAGCACAGUACACAUUUUCUCCCUUAAUUACAAAUAAUUAGAUAGUGUAAAUUUAUACUAAUGCCUGAUGCCUGGAAGUACAUGUUCAGAAAUAAAGGGGUAGCCUGGGGGUGGUGAGAUUAUAAACAGGUGUGGCUGUCAUCUGCUGGGAGCUGCUUGCUUGUGACCUUGGAGAGCUGUGAGGUUUCAUUGGUGAGGGUGGGGGCUGCUUCUAGUUAAGAACGGAUGUCAGUGGCAAUUUGUCUAGUCCCUCAGCCAUCUACCACUGUCCUCUUUUAGAUAAAUGGCAAGGAGAUUGAGCGCGUGGAUCUCAUCAGGGCCGGUAACACAGGAAGCAGGCGUGACGAAUAUGCAUGUGACGGAGUGUGGAAAUGAGAGGUGCCCCAGGGUGUGCAGCUGUGGCUCUCUGUGGGCAAGAUUUCGAACUCGGGACCUUGUACUUGCGAGGCAGGCAGCAGAACCUCUGAGCUAAAUCUCCGGCCCCAUGAACUGAAAUUGUAAACCAAAUUAAACCUCUCCUCC